CAUGCAAGUCGAACGCGAAAGGGGCUUCGGCUCUGAGUAGAGUGGCGAACGGGUGAGUAACACGUGGGUGACCUACCUUCGAAUGGGGGAUAACGUCCCGAAAGGGACGCUAAUACCGCAUAACAUCCUGCUUUUGAAGAGGUGGAGAUCAAUCUUUGGGGAUCGCAAGACCUGGCGUUUGAAGAGGGGCCCGCGUCUGAUUAGCUAGUUGGUGAGGUAACGGCUCACCAAGGCAACGAUCAGUAUCCGGCCUGAGAAGGCGGACGGACACACUGGGACUGAGACACGGCCCAGACUCCUACGGGAGGCAGCAGUGGGGAAUUGUUCGCAAUGGGCGCAAGCCUGACGACGCAACGCC
rnacentral:rRNA from 1 species